ACCAAGAAAGAUCAGGGAAUUAGUACAGGAUCAAGAGAUGCGAGAAAGAGAUGAGGAGAUAAAUUCAUGAGGUUUGAAACACUCAGGAUAAAACACACUGUUUUAUUUCAGCAACAAGAAGAUUAUAAAUAACUAAAAGCUCUUUAAAUACAUCUUCUCUUUUUCUCUAAUGUUUCUCUCUUAUAUUUCCCACCAACAAAGAAACCCACGAUUUGUUUGGCUGAUGUGCAUUUAUGGUAGAUAAAAGCACAAAAAAGCGAUUCUUGGAUUGCGCUACUGAAUUGUGAGGCAAUCAACGAUGAUGGGGUUUCUGUGAUCGCUACAAGUAGCUAGCUAGGAAGUGAGGGGCAAUUCCUUUGGAAACUUGUAAGUUGAGCGAUGAUCUGAAUUUGCUUCAAUUGAUGCUAAGAGAAAAGCUUUCUGACCCCUUUCAGCCGCCCGCGCGUGGAGUUAAGAUAGUUAUCACAACAAGAAACGAUGGCGUCCCAUCGUUCAUGGGUGGCUUUUCACACCACCAUCUAGAGGCAUUAUCAGAAUAUGAUUGCCUGUCAGUGUUCGCACAUCAUGUUUUAGAAAAGCAAAAUUUGAUGCAAUCCAAAUCUGCAAGCUUUUGGGUAAGAAUAGCAAGCUAGUGUAAGGGCUUACCGUUGGCAGCAAAAUUUUUUUGAGGGGAAGCUGCGUUCCACGCUAAACUAUGAUGAAUGGGAAAAGGUAUCAAAUUGUGAGAUAUGGGAUAUACAUGAGAAAAUGGAAGGAGUUUUUCCACCCCUAUGUUGCCACAACAGGAUAGUUUUUUAUGGUAGCCGACGGAUUUGUACCAUUUGUUGCCGCACUUUGUCACUUGAGGAGUUAACUGGAUGUACUGAUGGCUGCACUAUUCCGAAUAAGCUGAGGAAAUCAUGUAGCUAGUACUUCAAUGCAAUGGAGUCCUGGGUUGGAUGAGGCAAUUCAUCAGUGCCUGAUUGUGAGCACUCUUCGACUUUCAAACACCGAUCAUUUUGCAGUUUCCAUGGAGGAGUAUUCAACGAAUGAACAAGGAUCGAUCUUCUCAUGGUUUGGCCACAUUGGCCGUGGAAAAAACAAGUGGGAUUCCAGAUCUUGGAGCACUUUUCGUAUCUUCUUUCUGUAGAGCUUUUGGCUGGCUCGGAUAAUUCAGGUAUGGAAUAUUAUAUCUCAUAUAUAUCGUAGCUAGCUAGCAGUACUGCAAUAAAAUCUGCAUAUUUUGGCACACCUGCAAUGAACUGUAUGCGGUCGAAGCAAGGUGUGCUUAUAAUUUCUACAUUAAUUAUAAUCUCUAGCUAGAUAUUGCUUCAUAUUAUAUAUAAUCAGUCAGUUGAAUGCACAAGUCUUGUGUUAUAUAUAGCUAAAUCCAACAGAACUUAAUCAUGAUCAGAUCAACAAAAAGGGAAAUGAGGGGGGAAAUAUCAAUAGCGCGCAGUAUUAGGAAAUAUGGUAUGAUCAAUGCGAAAGGCGAGUCGUAGGUGAGUCAGGUUCUUUUAUUUAUUAGUUUACAGAGUGUGAUCCUAUAUAGAGACAUAGUCUUGGUUGGGCGAAGAACAUAUUUGCAGUAAGAUCGAUCGACCAAAUUCCUCCCGGAGUUGGUGAUGGAGCUGCACUGAGCGUGGGGUUCAAUUUCUAAGACCUAGGCUGCAAUAUUGAGCUUGGGUGGCCAAACUACUCUUGGUCCAGGUGAAUGCAUCAAAAUCUAGGUGAGAUUCUAUCAAUUUCUUUUUAUUUAAUUUUUAUCUAUAAAAUAUUAUUUUAUUUAAAAAAUUGUCUAAAACAACGCUACUUUUUUAAAUAAAUAAAUAAAAAAACGCAUGAAUUCAGGUUAAUUUAUUGAUUUGCAAGUUGACCUAUCCCACCUGUAAUCAAUCUAAUCUUGAACCAAGUCUCUUAACUAUGAAUGGGAUUGAUACUCCAUUCUCUCUCUCUCUCUCUCUCUCUCUCUCACUCACUCACUCACACACACACACACACACACACACACACACACAAGGAAAGCAAACAAUCAGUUAUUAAUUGAGAAAUUAUAAGAACAAGAUAAAAAGUUUUUUUUUUUUUUGAGUGAGAGAUUCCAAAGAAUAAUUUUAUUAGAUCUCCUUUUUUUUAAUUGAUCUCAAAUUGAUUUUUUUUUAUAAAAAGAAUAAUCUUGUUUAUAAAAAAUUAAAAAUUAUGGAUGCCAAAAUUUGAUGAAAAAAAAGAAAAAAGAAAUAUUUUAUUUUGAAGAAUCAGGUAUGCUUCGUUUCAGAAUAAUAAGGUACUUUGUAUUUUUUAAGAAAAGACGGGAAGAAAAACUUCAUCUCAUCCCACGUUUUUCAAACCUUGCCUUUUGAGAACUUUAACAAACUACUAUUUAUUAUUAAUAAUAAUUAUUUUUUUAAAAAAAUUAAAAAUAAUAUAUUUUUUAAUUUUAUUUCUCAUAUUAAAAUAAUAAUAAAAACACUAAAAAAAUUAAAAUAAAUAAUUUUAAAUUUUAGCAAAAUCAUGCCUAGCCGGAUAGCUAAACUGACCCUUAAAGGUGAGUAACAAAUCUUGUUGCUUUAUUUAGCAAAAAAAUAAAUGUGAUGUUGAAAUUAGAGUUUUAUAUCUGUUAAGAUUUAACCUGAUAAGUUAAAGAUUUCCCCACAAAGAGAUAUUUGUCUUAAACCUUAUAUGAAACCAAUAAAUAAAAAUAUAACUUAGAUUAACAAUCAAUCAAUAAUAUAUUUUAUCUUAGAUAAAGUGCACUGAGGUGAUACAUCUUUUCCUUGUACAACUAGUCUCCUUACUCACAUUCUCGCAAACCAUAGGUUUCCUAGUGACCAUGAUACUAGGUAACGACUCUCUCUAAUCAUAACUUUAUAAUUCAACCCAAAAACACCCUUCAAUUCGAUGAGGCAGCCCCGUCAUUUGAUGUCGGGCACGUCACGAGAGGGUGACGACUCUACUGGGGACUUGCCUGAUUGAGCUUUGUUUGCUUGUUUAUUUAUUUAUUUUUGUUAGUCUGAAUAAUUUAAUUUUAACAUGUAUUUUUUUUAACAUAUUACUCAUAUAUAUUUCUUUACAUG